UAAAUACUCCCUUCGUCCGGAAUUAUUUAUCGCACAAAUGAAUAAAAAGAUGUAUCUAGAACAAAAAUACAUCAAGAUGCAUCCAUUCUUAUGUCAAGCAUUUCCGGACGGAGGAAGUAUUUA
rnacentral:pre_miRNA from 1 species